ACUAUUUCAUAAAGAGAAGAACUCAGAAAGUGGAUUCAGGAAACACAGGAAGAGGAGUCCUGGAGUAUCUCUAGAAAUUUCUCGGUAAAAUCCACAGGACCAGUAUCUGCCACAAUAAGAUGGGCGGCAGCAGCUGUAUCCAUACCCACCGGAGACAGAGCCACGGCCACAGCCAGAACCACAGCCAAGGCCGCCACAGUAGUUACUGUAGUAGCAGCACAAGGUGCCAGCAAUUAAAGGUUCCGUUGAUGGUGGGAACCAGUGUCCUCAAUCCGAAUGCCACCGUCUUCCAGGGCUUUUAUGUAUCUUCAGUGAUGGCUAGAGCAAACCACAGUGGAUUGACAUCCUCUACAGAAAGAUGUUCAGUAACAGCGGCAGUUACAGAAAUCCUUGCCUUAUUUCAGUGUUCAUUCCUGAAGUAUACACAUGCUUUUAACAUUGACGAUAAAACUUAAUAGUACACUUAAGCUGAAGCAAUCAUCUUGAACAAUAUAGAGAUAAAGAAUGGUUAGUUUUCCUAUAACAAAAUGUUCAUGGAGUUAUUUAAUAAUAAAAGUUAUGUCUCUAUCUUUUUCA
rnacentral:lncRNA from 1 species